rnacentral:rRNA from 1 species
AUGGAUGGAAUCAAAUACGCAGUAUUUACAGAAAAAAGUCUUUGUUUAUUGGGAAAGAAUCAAUAUACUUUUAAUGUCGAAUCGGGAUUCACUAAGACAGAAAUAAAGCAUUGGGUCGAACUCUUCUUUGGUGUUAAGGUGGUAGCUGUGAAUAGCCAUCGACUAACGAAAAAAAAGGGUACGGACGCAACGUUAAAGCGCUGCACGGAAAGUGGGUGA